UAAUACAGAGGGUGCAAACGUUGUUCGGAAUUACUGGGCGUAAAGCGUGUGUAGGCGGUUUUGUAAGUCGGGCGUGAAAGCCCCGGGCUCAACCCGGGAAGUGCACUCGAUACUGCGGAACUAGAGUUUCGGAGAGGUUGGUAGAAUUCUUGGUGUAGAGGUGAAAUUCGUAGAUAUCAAGAGGAAUACCGGUGGCGAAGGCGGCCAACUGGACGAAAACUGACGCUGAGACACGAAAGCAUGGGGAGCAAACAGGAUUAGAUACCCUGGUAGUCCAUGCCGUAAACGAUGGGUGCUGGGGUUCACAGGCAUUGACUCUUGUGGGCCCGUAGCUAACGCGUUAAGCACCCCGCCUGGGGAGUACGGCCGCAAGGCUA
rnacentral:rRNA from 1 species